UACGAAGGGGGCUAGCGUUGCUCGGAAUGACUGGGCGUAAAGGGCGCGUAGGCGGAUGGCACAGUCAGAUGUGAAAUUCCCGGGCUUAACCUGGGGGCUGCAUUUGAUACGUGUUGUCUUGAGUUCGGAAGAGGGUCGUGGAAUUCCCAGUGUAGAGGUGAAAUUCGUAGAUAUUGGGAAGAACACCGGUGGCGAAGGCGGCGACCUGGUCCGACACUGACGCUGAGGCGCGAGAGCGUGGGGAGCAAACAGG
rnacentral:rRNA from 1 species